rnacentral:rRNA from 1 species
UACGUAGGGGGCGAGCGUUGUCCGGAUUUAUUGGGCGUAAAGAGCUCGUAGGCGGCUUGUUGCGUCGACCGUGAAAACCCGCGGCUUAACUGUGGGCUUGCGGUCGAUACGGGCGGGCUGGAGUUCGGUAGGGGAGACUGGAAUUCCUGGUGUAGCGGUGAAAUGCGCAGAUAUCAGGAGGAACACCGGUGGCGAAGGCGGGUCUCUGGGCCGAUACUGACGCUGAGGAGCGAAAGCGUGGGGAGCGAACAGG